UACGUAGGUGGCAAGCGUUGUCCGGAUUUAUUGGGUUUAAAGGGUGCGUAGGCGGCCCUGUAAGUCAGUGGUGAAAUACGGCAGCUCAACUGUCGAGGUGCCAUUGAUACUGCAGGGCUAGAGUACUGAUGAGGUAGGCGGAAUGGACGGUGUAGCGGUGAAAUGCUUAGAUAUCGUCCAGAACACCGAUAGCGAAGGCAGCUUACUAAAGAGUAACUGACGCUGAGGCACGAAAGUGUGGGGAUCAAACAGG
rnacentral:rRNA from 1 species